rnacentral:piRNA from 1 species
UAGGAGAAAUAUCUGAAGGCUUACAUAGA